rnacentral:lncRNA from 1 species
CUGCAGCAGAUGAGGAGCCUGUUUGUCUUCACAUAAUCCUGAUGAGUCACACUUGUGACACCCUGUGAACCUGAUAUGCAAAAUCCUGCAGUCCUGCAUGGUUUUAGAAGAUGGAAUUGAAAUGCUGAGACCACUUGGUGAGAUAAAGUCCCUGUAACAAAAGGGACAAAGACAAGGGCUGAGAAGUGCCUUCUGCAGUUAGCAGUCUCCUGCUGCAUGGCUGCAAAUUGAGAGUGAAGACCACUGAAUGUCUGUUCACUGAUGGCUAAACCUUGACUCAUCCAGAGCAAGAAACAGAGAAUUACA